UACGUAGGGUGCGAGCGUUAAUCGGAAUUACUGGGCGUAAAGCGUGCGCAGGCGGUUCGUUGUGUCGGCGGUGAAAGCCCCGGGCUUAACCUGGGAACUGCAUUUGUGACUGCAUAGCUAGAGUACGGUAGAGGGGGAUGGAAUUCCGCGUGUAGCAGUGAAAUGCGUAGAUAUGCGGAGGAACACCGAUGGCGAAGGCAAUCCCCUGGACCUGUACU
rnacentral:rRNA from 1 species